rnacentral:rRNA from 1 species
GCCUACGGGGCGCAGCAGUGGGGAAUAUUGGACAAUGGGGGGAACCCUGAUCCAGCGACGCCGCGUGAGUGAAGAAGUAUUUCGGUAUGUAAAGCUCUAUCAGCAGGGAAGAAAAUGACGGUACCUGACUAAGAAGCCCCGGCUAACUACGUGCCAGCAGCCGCGGUAAUACGUAGGGGGCAAGCGUUAUUCGGAUUUACUGGGUGUAAAGGGAGCGUAGACGGUGCAGCAAGUUUGAUGUGAAAGGUCGGGGCCCAACCCCGGGACUGCCUUGGAAACUGGU